UACGGAGGGUGCAAGCAUUAAUCGGAAUUAUUGGGCGUAAAGGGCGCGUAGGCGGAUUUGUAAGUCAGAUGUGAAAUUCCGAAGCUCAACUUCGGAGCUGCAUUUGAAACUGUGAGUCUAGAGGGAUGGCGGAGAAAAUGGAAUUCCACGUGUAGCGGUGAAAUGCGUAGAUAUGUGGAAGAACACCCGUGGCGAAGGCGGUUUUCUAUCUUAUACCUGACGCUGAGGCGCGAAAGCAAGGGGAGCAAACAGG
rnacentral:rRNA from 1 species